CGCAAUAUGGGCGUGGUCUGGAUGAACGGGCGAGACAGCGUAGGUGGCAGCUGAAUCAAACCAAAUAUGGAAGACGUUGAUAACAAUUGUUUGCCAAAGAAAGUUCAGCUUCUUAGUCAGCUUGCCCUGCCAAUGGAGAAUAUCUGCGCUCUUUCCAUGGCUACUAAAGUUGUGAAGCAGGCACAGGGAGAUGUGGAGCCAUGAUCCAUGAACGUUCCUGCCUUGUCUUUGACACUAAAAAGGACAGGACCUUAUGGUUGUUCUUCACCCAACACAGGAAGUGAAUGACUUACGUGAAACUUAGAACUUCGGAACCCUCAUAUGAUGAAUGGAGGGAGCAUGUAGAACAACCGUAAGCAAUUCUCAGCUGCAACAAAAAUUUUAGAAAAUACUUAUGUAUGAUUUAAUGGAAAGAAAAUAAAUGUCCCCAACAGUUGUUUGUAGCCUGUACUUUUCCACUGCACCAACAACACCAAUUAUCUGGCUGUCAUAUAACCCUGUUGUUAUCAAUAACUGUGCCCACUUCCCUACUCAUUCCAGUACUUCCAAAUUCAGCUACCACAAUAUUCCAUUCUCGCUACCAAAUGCUAACAUGCCCUGCUUUGU